CAAUGAUUACCAUCUAGUACGUAGAUCAAAAGCCUCAUAUUGAAAUACUGUUGGGAAUUCCUUUUCCGGUGAGUCCACCCUCUCUAGAGUAAUCUGAGGUGCUGGGAUAGAGCAAGGUAUAAGGCAUCUUGAUGGGCCCAACUCUGUUCUUUAGUCUCUCAUCUCUGUUCCUUUCUGUAAUUCUCUUCUCAAUUUCUAUCAGCUUCUCUCCAAAUCUACCAAAUGCUGCUAGGGCCUCACCAUCCGAAGUCCACUCAGGAGUAUCUCUUUGUCCAAGAUAAAUCUCAUCAGUUGCAUGUCGAGAUAAGACCUCUAUCAGAGAUACACCAAGAAGAGUUUGGAGCUGAGAUG
rnacentral:lncRNA from 1 species